GAUGAACGCUGGCGGCGUGCCUAAUACAUGCAAGUCGAGCGAACAGACGAGGAGCUUGCUCCUCUGACGUUAGCGGCGGACGGGUGAGUAACACGUGGAUACCCUACCUAUAAGACUGGGAUAACUUCGGGAAACCGGAGCUAAUACCGGAUAAUAUAUUGAUCCGCAUGGUUCAAUAGUGAAAGACGGUUUUGCUGUCACUUAUAGAUGGAUCCGCGCCGCAUUAGCUAGUUGGUAAGGUAACGGCUUACCAAGGCAACGAUGCGUAGCCGACCUGAGAGGGUGAUCGGCCACACUGGAACUGAGACACGGUCCAGACGCCUACGGGAGGCAGCAGUAGGGAAUCUUCCGCAAUGGGCGAAAGCCUGACGGAGCAACGCCGCGUGAGUGAUGAAGGUCUUCGGAGCGUAAAACUCGGUUAUUAGGGAAGAACAAAUGUGUAAGUAACUAUGCACGUCUUGACGGUACCUAAUCAGAAAGCCACGGCUAACUACGUG
rnacentral:rRNA from 1 species